rnacentral:rRNA from 1 species
CCUACGUGAGGCUGCAGUGAGGAAUAUUGGUCAAUGGGCGAGAGCCUGAACCAGCCAAGUCGCGUGAAGGAUGACGGCCCUACGGGUUGUAAACUUCUUUUGUCAGGGAGCAAUUGGGUCCACGCGAGGGCUUAGCGAGAGUACCUGAAGAACAAGCAUCGGCUAACUCCGUGCCAGCAGCCGAGGUAAUACGUAGGGGGCAAGCGUUAUCCGGAUUUACUGGGUGGAAAGGGAGCGUAGACGGUGAGACAAGUCUGAAGUGAAAGCCCGGGGCUCAACCCCGGGACUGCUUUGGAAACUGCCUGACUGGAGUGCUGGAGAGGCAAGCGGAAUUCCUAGUGUAGCGGUGAAAUGCGUAGAUAUUAGGAAGAACACCAGUGGCGAAGGCGGCUUGCUGGACAGUAACUGACGUUGAGGCUCGAAAGCGUGGGGAGCAAACAGGAUUAGAUACCCUGGUAGUC